AGUGAACGCUGGCGGUAGGCCUAACACAUGCAAGUCGAACGGCAGCACAGUAAGAGCUUGCUCUUACGGGUGGCGAGUGGCGGACGGGUGAGGAAUACAUCGGAAUCUACUUUUUCGUGGGGGAUAACGUAGGGAAACUUACGCUAAUACCGCAUACGACCUACGGGUGAAAGCAGGGGAUCUUCGGACCUUGCGCGAUUGAAUGAGCCGAUGUCGGAUUAGCUAGUUGGCGGGGUAAAGGCCCACCAAGGCGACGAUCCGUAGCUGGUCUGAGAGGAUGAUCAGCCACACUGGAACUUAGACACGGUCCAGACUCCUACGGGAGGCAGCAGUGGGGAAUAUUGGACAGAGGGCGCAAGCCUGAUCCAGCCAUACCGCGUGAGUGAAGAAGGCCUUCGGGUUCUAAAGCCCUUUUGUGGGGAAAGAAAAGCAGCAGGUUAAUACCCCGCUGUUCUGACGGUACCCAAAGAAUAAGCACCGGCUAACUUCGUG
rnacentral:rRNA from 1 species